GACAGAGGGUGCAAACGUUGCUCGGAAUUACUGGGCGUAAAGCGCGCGUAGGCGGUUAUCUAAGUCGGAUGUGAAAGCCCUCGGCUUAACUGAGGAAGUGCACCCGAAACUGGAUAGCUAGAGUACGAAAGAGGGUCGCGGAAUUCCCGGUGUAGAGGUGAAAUUCGUAGAUAUCGGGAGGAACACCGGUGGCGAAGGCGGCGACCUGGGUCGAGACUGACGCUGAGGCGCGAAAGCGUGGGGAGUAAACAGG
rnacentral:rRNA from 1 species